GCAAUGAUGACAACUUCUGGUUUUGAUCAGUGAUGAAAAUGCACAAACUAUUCCUCUAAGAAGUUCUGAGCUC